rnacentral:tRNA from 1 species
GGAGAGUAUGCCGAGCGGCUAAGGCAAUGGUUUGCUAAACCAUGGUCGCGAAAGCGGCCGGUGGGUUCGACUCCCGCACUCUCCG